CGGAGAUCUCCGGCAGCGCUCGCGCUGGUUCCAUAUCACAGACUGGGAGCGCAACCCGCAGCGCUGGGCUCCGUGUGAGGCUCCUGAGAUGAGUGUGUGCAGAGACCUGGGUUAGCUGUCUCUCACUGCUGCAGGGGGCUCCCAGCUGCUGGAUACCUCUCUUUCUCUCCUGCCUUUACUGCUAGCUCUGCUGGGGCUGAGUCAAGCGGUGCUGCCCAACUUCUCAACAGCCUUGCAGGUAGAGAAGAAUCCAUACCAAGAUAAAGCAAAAGAGAGGAGACAAGUUUUCUUUCCCAGUCCAGAAAAAAUAACGUGUUGGAUUAUAAUCUAACAGUGGAGAGUGCCAACAUGAACAACGAGGGGCCAGAGAAUCCCAUCUCAUCCACACUGACCCAGGGCCUGAAGAGAAAGAGGGGGAGACCAAAGAAGCAGCCACAGGAGGAUGGUGGAAACACAGCUGUUAUCCCACAGGAUGCUGUGGAACCACAGCCAGUGAAGAAACCACGAGGAAGGCCAAAAGGAAGCAAGAAAAUGACUGUUGUAACUGGGGGAACGGCAGAACCUUCUGCUGGGAAGAGGCGAAGAGGAAGGCCCCGCAAGUGGCCUCAAGCAGUGGUCCAAGAAGGAGAGUCUCAGGAAGGAAAUCCUCUGGAAAGCAGUGACUUGAAUUUGAACUCGGCACCAGCCACACAAGACAUCCCUGGAAAAGACGGCUCCAGGUCUGGCAAAACCACUGGUCUUAGGAGAUGUCUGAGUAACAUCCCUGCUGCAGCUCAGUAGUGUCCCACCUGUUUGUGUCUUGCUGAAGCCAGAGGAGUGGAAAGCAAACAGGACUUUUAAUGUUGUAUUUCAGAUUCUUCAUUUGUGAUUUUAGCCAAGCUCUCUCCUGUUGCCUGUGGACUUGCUUACCCCAAACAUCCAAACAAGGAUUUAGGGGAAGAAAUGGCAAAUUGCCUUGUUGGAGAGAUGCCUUUUAGAGUUUGUAGUAAAUCUUCUGUGAGUAUAGUAAUUUCUCUUUAAAAUACUUGGAUAACCUGGUGCCUCACCCUGCCACAGAGAGCAGUAUUUCAACAGGAGUUGACUCAGCAAUACAGAUACAGGAAAGGAAAUCUGUUUACACAGCUAAUGGCUGAGCUUGUCUUGCCCUAUCACCUCUGGAAGACUGAUGGAGCAAUGCCAGGGGUUAAGUUUUGCUGUUGCCCAUAGGAACUGUAUCUGAAAGACAGCCUUUGAGUUCUUUCUUGAUUAUUUCAGAACAAAAAACCUUCAUGGCAUUUCCAGCUUGCCCUGUGCUGCUGUUCCAGUGGCCAGUAACUUGCAUGCUUUAGGGGAAAGUUUGCACCCUGAUAUCUUAGGGAUUGAUUUUGAAAUUUUUAUCUUAGUGUGAUCAGCUCAGGGCCUUCUCCUAUAACUUCUUCUGGCCUGGUGGCUCUCCCCCCGAGUUUGAUAGUAGCUCCAAGUGCACAGUGCUUACAAGCUUAGUCACAGCCACUGGAUUUUAUCUCUUCAAAGGAGUGUCUGUAAAGAACCGGUUAAAAAGUUCUUCCUUGCAGAGCCUUAGGAUUCAAUUUAAAUUAGUUUAAAUUCAGUCCCUAACACGCGUGUGUGGAGUCCUCUAGUGUCACAACCAUGCCAAUAAAAGCUGCUGAUAGUUCAGUUUUGGGAGACAGCAGUAGCCAGUUGGUUUGAGAUUGUUGCUGGCUGCUCUCAGUUUCACACUGUUUGCAGAUUUGUGCUUUUGGUGUCAGAGCUGUUAAAUUCUGAGGAAUUGAGGGUAUUUCCAAUAUCCAGUUGCAAAUAGUGAAAUCCCGGUGGUAUUUUCCAUCUCCUGGAUGUUCUGCCUGCCUAUUAAAGGGACAAAGUGGGUAUUUCAAUUAUCUCUGACAGGAUGUAAAAUUGGCUAGCUUUACAGUGUUAAAUAUUUAAACAGAACAUAAUUGGCUUUAAAUUUAUGGUGGUGCAUAGCAGAAACCCAUGAAAUGGCUGUAUAUAUUGAACUCAUUUAUUAUCUUUUCAUCAGAGUUCUGUUCCCUUGGCAAGUAUUUAUUUAACACAAGAAAAUGUAUGCAGAAUUAGGAAGAAGGGCAGGGCUGAUUGGAAAGAUAAUAGGGGGAAAAGUAUUUUUUUUCCCUUUUGGGUCAUUUUGUCCAGUCCAUCUAAUUUAGUACUGAUGAGUCCUGAUCCCAUUAAUUCUGCUUAGUAGUGAUGAGAGUCCUAGUCCUAAUUCUCUGUAGUAUCUGGUUUGCCCUAAGGGGGUACUCUCUUGUGCAUGGAGCUUGGUGGUCACAGCAGAAAACUGCAUCACAGAUAAUCUUUGUGCCUCCACUACCAAAUAGCAGAGAAAUCUAGGACUAAAUGGAUUAGAUCACAGGGACUGACCUAAAUCCUGUGCUACAGGAUGAGCUGUGCUGCCAGAUACAAGGAGUUUGACCCCCAGCUCCUGCUGUGGGGAUAGCUCUGGGUGGGACAUGACACGAGUGAGUCUGUUGAUGGUUACAUGAGAAGGUGCAGCUGGUGCUCCCCUGAAUUCUGCUGCUCUUCAGUGCACUCAGAAGUUCAGCUGCAGUUCGUAUCUGCAUUCAAAGGCUACUCCAGUAGCAGACCAGUAUAUUUUACCAACUUCUGUGCCUGAUUUUCAGUUGAUUUGGCAGGUUCAGUACUCUGUAAGGCUAUAUUGCCUGUUUAAUUAACCCCUGCUACCUGAGAGCAGUAGCUGUUGCAGUGUGAGACUGUAGCUUCAGCUUCUAAAUGGAUUAGGGAUUACAUCUGUAAGACUCAGGCUUUUCCUGUGACAUCAGUCAGUCCUUUCUCAACUGGUGGCAUGGAAUAGGGGUACACACUGCCUUGGCUAGAUAGUAAAUCCAUCUGCUUUAGGUCAGCAGUAUUCCUCUGGGAAGUGCAUGCAAAGUAAAAAAAAAAUUUUUUUAAUUAAAAAAAAAUUAAAUCUAGUCUUUGCUACCUCUAACCACUCUGCUGAGAAAACGCAGUAAAGAACUUGUUUCCAUCAAAAUGCAAGUGCUGGAGGAGAACCAACAGAAUUCCACUCUUUUAGGAGCUCUUCUGUGUGUAGUUGAAACCCCAAUUCAUAACUUCAGCUUCCACGUUUACACAGAGAAUUAGAAUGGAAGUCAAUGCCUAUGAAAGGUGGGCAGAAUUCCAGACAUCUUCAGGGAGCUGGGAUUUCACACUGGAUCACUUGGAUUGUCUUUUUUGGAAUUAUAAACGUUUUUAUUUCCCAAUUAAUUACCUUUUCUGUGUAGACAAACCUACCUCUAAGCAAGUGCAUGUCAAGUGUUUUUAAGCUCAGGCAGUUUUGGUCUGACUUGGCCAAAAACAAGAGGUCAUUUCAGUUGGUUAAACCACAGGAGAUGAGUGAGGUUUUUGUCUAGCAAAGUUUGGAAGUUUCCCCUAAAUGGUUUUGGUGAAGGCAUAGAGAGUGUUGGCAACUUGCAAAUUAGCCUUGAAGUUUGUUAAAUAAAAGUCUUAAACAAAUGCCCCUCAGGCUCCUGCUUUGCCUCCUCCUUGUGCAGUACCCUCAGCACACACAGACACAUUGCUGGAUAAGGUGAGUGUCUCUUGACCUGGGCUUUUGGGGAUUAUAAACAAAAAUUUGGUCAUUCAGGAGCAGCCCCAGAUUGAUGUGACAACAAGAAAUAAUAAGCAUGAGGAAUCACACAUGGAAAAAAUCAGCCAGCCUCCUAAGCCCAAAUGUGGGUGCCUGAUUCCAUCCUUUUGUGUGUCUUGGAGGCUUGAUUGGAACACAAGCCAGUUCUGCUUCACAUGUACACCCAGAAGUCUCCACAGUCAAGUCAGUUUCUCCCCCACAUUGUUCUGUGGGCUACACAGCUAUUUAGCUUUAAAUACAAUUAAUUCUCUGCCUGUGCCCUGCCUCUUCAGUUCAUGUGACAGCUUUCCUAACUAGUCCCAAGUUUUGGGGCUGUGGGCCAGAUGAGGCAGGAGCAGAUCUGAAAUAUAUCAACAAUGUUGUUCCCCUCGGUGUGAGCAGAGCUGCAGGUGAGCUGAUGAACCCCUGGCUGGUACAGGAAUUCAUCUUAAGGGUAAGUUCGGAUUUCUGGAUGUCCAGGACUGGCAGCUGGAAGCUCCUGCCCUCCUGACUUCUCCAGCGAGCCUUUUUGAAGGGAUCUGAGUUUCUGUGCUGUAGAACACUAAAUUUUGACCUCCCCCAGAGCUUCCUUUUCCAAGUUUUUCACAUUGAGUUCAGUUCUUGAAAGAGCAGG